GAGCAUUACAGAGAUCAUGCCCUCACGGGUAGACCUCCCACCCUGUGUUAUAUACUCUUGUUGCUUUGGCAAGCCGUCCCUCGGGCCUGUGGCUUCGGCCGUGGAGAGCUUGCCAAAGGACCCCAUAACUCUUGCGUUUGCGUGUCGUCUGAGUACUAUAUAAUAAGUUAAAACUUUCAACAACGGAUCUCUUGGUUCUGGCAUCGAUGAAGAACGCAGCGAAAUGCGAUAAGUAAUGUGAAUUGCAGAAUUCAGUGAAUCAUCGAAUCUUUGAACGCACAUUGCGCCCCUUGGUAUUCCGGGGGGCAUGCCUGUUCGAGCGUCAUUUCAACCCUCAAGCGCAGCUUGGUCUUGGGCUCUGCCGGUUACACGGCUGGCCUCAAAAGUAGUGGCGGUGCCGCUGAGCUCUACGCGUAGUAACUAAACCCUCGCGUCUGAGCCUUGGUGAGCGCUGGCCAACAACCCUCAUUUUUUAUACAGUUGACCUCGAAUCAGGUAGGGAUACCCGCUGAACUUAAGC
rnacentral:rRNA from 1 species